GCAGUAGGGGUCUAGUGGUUAGGACUCUUGUCCUUCAAACACCAAGUCGGUGGUUCGAAUUCCACUUAACUUCA
rnacentral:tRNA from 1 species